GAUCUCGGUGCCAUUGAUGCAAGACGGAGAUUGUCACAGGAUUCCUGCACAUUCAGACUGUCAACCUACCCUGGAUUUGUCUUGUUUAAUGGUGCAAGUGAACAUCAUCUGGGGGAAAACCAUCGCUGCCGACAUCCUCUACAGGGAGUUGUUGGACGGGGCACGGGGCCACUGCUGAGGGACCUGGAGAAGGUGGGCUGCUCGCUGGACAUCAAAGAUGUGAGAGACGGGGACCAAGGCUGCUGUUACCUGCACAUAGCCAGGGGGAAUUCAUUCCGGAAUAGCUACUGAGCAACACAGCCUGAACUCAUUGUCACAGAGCUGAUGGAGCAGCUGGUACUGGGGAUCCCCGAGGUGCUGCUGCCCAGCAUUUGAUGAACAUGAUCAGCCAGGCUGCAGCGACCUUCUUCGGGACCCCUCCCCAAAUCACCUGGAUGGGAGGGUUCGACUCCAGAGCCAGGGACCUCUCAGUCUCCCUGGUGAACAGCAGCAUCUCCUACAGCUCCAUGCUCAGCUUCACGCCGGCCCCAGGGGACCACGGCAAAGAGUUCAUCUGCAGUGUCACAUGCCCCACGGUCGGGGUCUCCACUCGUAGAGCCCUAUNUGUAGAGCCCUCUAGCUCCAGGCGGGCUAGAGCCCCCGGUUGGGGAUCAGGCUGAACGCAUCCUGCCAGUGCCAGGGGCACAACGUCAACUGCAACUGCUCCCUGAACUCCCACUCCCUGCCCCAGCUCCAGUGGCAGGUGGAUGGGGAGGCCCUUGCUGGGAAUAGCUUGUUCGGGGCCCUGCAGAUCAGCUCCUGGUCCCAGAGGGACAAGGUCAUCAGCACCCUCAGCUGAGUGGGGAUGGGCCCCCAGGAUCUUCUGUGGCAGCUCCAACCCCCAUAGCACGUAUUCUGUACUGCUG
rnacentral:lncRNA from 1 species